UCACUUUGCUUCCCGUACGUUCCAUUUGCUUCCGUUACGUUCUUCUUCCCCCUCUCCACUCUCGCUCUUCACUUUCUCUCUGCAACCUUAAAACUCUCAAACCGCAAGCCAACCAUAACCAAACCCUCAUCAACUCUUCUUUCUCCGUUCUCUCUUUCCUCUCACUUUUAUCUCCGUGACUCACUUAAUAGAAAGUGUCUUUCGGCGGCGAUUUCGGCAACGGCCGGCCUCGAGGUUGGUCUCAAACGGUUGCUCUUCACAUCAGGUAGCUUCUAGACCUAUUGCAGGUAUGCCUGCACGAUUGGUGGUUGAUUACAGCCGAAAAUGACGUCGGAGGGAAGAGGCUAGCAUUUUCCGGCGUGACUUCUAGAGAACUUUGUGAAUGGAAGAGAGCAAACGUAGCAAGUUCAGGAGGAUUUGUGUGUUCUGUGGAAGCAACUCUGGCCUCAGGAAAGUGUUCCGUGACGCUGCUCUGGAGUUGGGCAAUGAACUGACUCAGGGCAAAUACUUGGAGAGAACUCGACCACUAUUGGCUGCUCUUUAACUCUAUUUCUCAUAUUUAAUACAGUAGCUGAGCAAUCUGGUAACAUUUUCAUCCUGAUUGUUUUGAGUUAAUGAGCUGGUGGUUUGUGUUGCUCAAGUAAGAUGAGAAUAUAUUUGUGUUGCCAACUAUGGAUUGCAAUGGAUAUGUGUGUUGCAUCAUCUGAUAUCAAUUUAAUACAUUUUAUUGAAUACAAUUUUACUCUCAUCUUUUGAGAGUUCAUUGAAUUAGAGCAAUAUUAUUGAAAAUUUUGUUGCUGAGAAUUUUGUGGGAUUUCCUGAAGCACGGAUUCUCAUCUUUACACGGCCCAUUUAAUUUUGCUUAAUGCUGAUGUAUGAGGAGAACUCUCAUUGCAUCAACCUCAGCAAACAUGCUUUGGCUUAGUGGCUAACCCAGUUAAUUUUUAUGCUCUAUUUGCCUUCUCCAUUUCCAGUUGAAUGAAUUGGUUAAAGUUUUUGUGACUGCAAAUUAUAUUGGUUAAUGAACGCCUUCAAGAGUAUUCUGAUUUGGUCCCUUAUGUAUCUAUAUAGUAUCAAACUAUAUAACUUUCUUUUGCAUGAUCCUUUACUGUAUUUCUUUGCUGUUGCACUAGAUUUAACCUUGAUUCUUAACUAAUAUGUGAUGGUGGAUAUGCAGUGCUUUUAUUCAGGAGUAUCAGAACUGGGACAUGACAUGGGCUUUGCCAGCAUUAUAUGUCAUGCUUAUGAGAUUAGGGUUCUAGCUGAGAGGGUAAGUUCAAUAAAUUAGUUUUGUUUCAAUAACGAGAUAUGUGCUUUAUUUAGUAAUUGGUUGUUGAUAUGUUGGGAAGACGGAUCGACUAAGACUAUUACGUGUGGUUUUGUAGACUGUUUUGGUUCUUUAUUGAACAUGAGAAUCAUAGAAUGUAAAUAAAUUUUAAUAUAGAUGAGAAUAAAUUUAAUAUAUUUCACAUGUUUAACACAGUUUUAAAA